GUACACUUUGUUAGUGUAAUUAAGUGAUUCCGUGUAAAAUAUAAAGGUUAUCUGAUCGAUGAAAGGUUGCAUUAUGUCGAUUUUUGUUUUAAUAACAAAAAAAAUUGCGAUGGUUUCACCGUUCGAUCACCUUUGUAUGUCGCCGUGGUAUGCUGCGUUAACCUUACAUAAACAGACUACAAUUCAGAAAACCGAUACUCGACAUAAUGCAAUCUAACUUUUAACUAGAUUUCAG